GGUUGUGGCUCAGUGGUAGAGCACUCGCCCAGCACAUGUGAGGCCCUGGGUUCAAUCCUCAGGGCCG
rnacentral:tRNA from 1 species